rnacentral:rRNA from 1 species
UACGGAGGGUGCAAGCGUUAUCCGGAUUCACUGGGUUUAAAGGGUGCGUAGGUGGGUUGGUAAGUCAGUGGUGAAAUCUCCGAGCUUAACUUGGAAACUGCCAUUGAUACUAUCAGUCUGAAUAUUGUGGAGGUCAGCGGAAUAUGUCAUGUAGCGGUGAAAUGCUUAGAUAUGACAUAGAACACCAAUUGCGAAGGCAGCUGGCUACA